GAUUUGACCACAGCCGCUUGGUGGAGCAUAUCGGCUAAUUUGACACUACGAAUGUACAAACCACACAAAAACACGUAAAACAAUCAAACAAACAAACAAAACAAAAUGAAUAAAAAAUAUAGUGUCCAGUCCAACUAUACAGUCCCAAAUAAUGAAAAAUAUGAAAAUGUAAACCCAUUCUAUUCCAAACUAUCCCUAAACUACUCCUGAAUUAAGCUUCACCCGACGUUUCAGGCCUUGACCGGCAAAUGAACACGAAUACCUCGGGGCAUUCCCUGACCAAAUGAAUAUAUCUGAGAUAACUAGAAAAACGUUCAAAACAUAUAUCUAAACAUUCAACGCAUGCAAUCAACACAUCACUCCUAAAUUUUACCUACCCGAACCUAAAUAUUCUCCACUCUGUUGUGCGUAUUCCCCCUUGGAGAAGAUGAACUUUCUCUUUCUGCCCCCUUCUCUGUGGGUCCCCCUUUCCCCCUUUUUGUUUUAUAUUCUGUUAUAGACCCCAAAAAGGAAAAAUAUGAGGGGAAAUGGGUGGGGUGACGUGGGGAGUAGGGUAGGUUGUUAGGAUAAAGUUUGUUAGGAUAAGGUUAGGGAUUUAAUUUGUUAGAGAUUUUGUUAAGGGUUGUUAUUUUUGUAUUUUUGUGGGAUAUAAUUAUACGGAUGAGGACACGUAGUAAUACGGAGGUAAAAUGGUAAAAAUGCUGUCGGGGAGGGACAAAAUUAGGUGUCUACAUCAUGCCCCCUUUGAAUGUAAAUACGAAGUAUUUUCAGACAAAGAAGUAGACAACGAGACAGAAUUUUGUCCCGACCAUUAUUCAAAAAUGAAACAGAAAGAAGGAGGGAGACCAAGUCUUGAUUUAGGACAUCCUAUCUACCCAAGUUAUGAGGGAAUCAAGUCAUGAGUAUCUUAAAGGAUUGGAAAGAGAAGGACUAUACCGAGUUGGAGAGUCGAGUGAGGCUCCAUCGAGGUUUCGGUCCGCGGCUCUGUCAUUACAUCAAAAAAUGAAAAUUACAAGUUAAAAACAUAAAUGAAAUUAAAAAAAACUCUAUCUAUGCAGAUUUCCUUGAUUCUUGACUUGCUACUUCAUCACCCUAUUCUUCAGGUAGGCUCCUGACUUGCAAUUUCUUCACCCUGUUCUUCAGAUGGGCUCCUGACUUGCAAUUUCAUCACUCUAUUUUUUGGGCGAGCUCCCGACUUACAAUUUCAUCACUUGUUGCUUGGUUUUCAAUUUUUUCACCCUAUUUUUCAGACGGGUUCCUGACUUGCUAUUUUUUGAUUUGUUGACUUUUAAUUUCUUCACCUUAUUGCUUGACUUUCAACUUUUUCACCAUGUUGCUUGACUUUUCAUUUAUUCGGCCUGUUCUUCAGGCGGGCUCCUGAAAUCACAUCAAAACUAAAAAAAAAAAUUAUCCCAAACAAAGAUUAUUAUAAAGAGAUUUCAUUUGCCAGGAAAGCAAAGUUCCAAACACAAGAUUUAAAUUUUGCCCUAGUUUCUCAUCAAAGGACUUUUGGGAAAGUCACAUCAUUAUAGGAAUCAAAGGGAAUGACUCGACUAAAAGAUACAUCUUAUAGGAAUCAAAGGGAAUGACUCGACUAAAAGGUACGUCUUAUAGGAAUCAAGGGAAAUGACUCGACUAAAAGGUAUGUCUUCUAGGGGUCAAGGGGAAUGACUCGACUAAAAGGUACGUCUUAUAGGAAUCAAAGAGGAAUGACUCGACUAAAAGGUAUGUCUUAUAGGAAUCAAAGAGGAAUGACUCGACUAAAAGGUAUGUCUUAUAGGAAUCAAGGGGAAUGAGUCGACUGAAAGGUACAUCUUAUAGGAAUAAAAGGGAAUGACUCGACUUAAAGGUACGUCUUAUAGGAAUCAAGGAAUGACUCGACUAAAAGGUACGUCUUAUAGGAAUCAAAGGGAAUGACUUAACUAAACGGUACAUCUUAUAGGGGUCAAGGAAUGACUCAACUAGAAGGUACGUCUCCUAGGAGUGAGGUUCAAUUUAAGAAGUAUAUCACCUAGCAAAUGAAAACUGAAAUUCCUGGACAAGAAAGUGUGUCUCCGAGGAAUAUAGGAUGAUGAUUUUUUACCAUGAUUUGAUUAUCAAACCUGUGCAGCAACUUUGCUUCCUGCAUUUGUAGAAGUGAGGCAUUGCAACCCUUGAUAUUUAUGCUCUAAAGUCCUUUCUUUGAAGGUAAUAUGUUUCCUAUUUCAUCAAAGAAAACUUGUGAGUUUAAAACAUGGUGGCUGGUUUGUGGCUUUAGCUUUCGCGGCGAUCGCGCUUGCCCUCGUCACAUUUAACCUUGCUUCCAACCAUUAGCAUAUAUCAUUGACUUGCUGAAUCAUUGACCCGAACUUAGAUUAUUAAGAGUGACUAAAACAAACACGGUAUCACUACUUUGCCAUGCUUCUCAAAUAGACCCUUUGAAUCUUGGUAUUUUCAUGAGUUCCCUGACUUCUCUUUUGACAAAAUUUUCUGCAUGCCCUUUUUUGGCUCACAAUCAUGUCUCUUUUAUGUGCUAGCUUUUGUCUUGCUUUGUGCAAUUAAAGAAGCUGGUAGCCAGUUUUGAAAUCUUUUUUUUCUUGUUUUGACACGGACUUGACUCAAAGACAAGAAAAGAAAAAUGACAAUGACUUUUAUUAGGACAACUGACUCAAGAAAAUGAAAUAAAAAUAAAGAGAAGAAAGAAAAGACAAUGAAUGUCCCCAUUUGAAACAAAAAAAUAAAAAUUUAUCUAGAAAAGACAGUCAACUCUAAUGAUUAUGUCAUGCAUUUUGGAUUAAGCUGCCUGAUCUUUCCAUCCAAACUUCUACCAAUUGUUGUUGAGUUAAUGACCUUGAAAUUGAGUUGCUUUCUUAGGCCAAAUUCAUUCGGAAACCUCAUUCGGCUAGUGGCACCUUGAAGGGUUUUCGCCAACAAACCUGUUUCUUUGUCUCAGCUCACCAUUGUCUUAUGGUGCCCGUGAGAGUUUUCACCCAUAAGACUCUCAUUUUUAUUUCUCUCAACUUACCAUCAUCUUACGGUGCCCGUGAGGGUUUUCACCAAUAAGGCUCUCUUAUUUUAUUCCUCUCAUGAUUUCUUAGGCUGAGAAAGACAAGUAGUACCCAAAAUGCAUCAUCAUAUUCAUUGCAUACUUAGCCUUACCAUUCUCAAAUUAAUCUGAAGGUCUUUCUUUAGUUGCAACUUGACUUUUGGAUAAGGUUAGAAAGAAGGGAUGACAUGACCAAACGACACUUGAAGUGGUGUAGGACUUACAACUUUUGGAAUCGACUCAAACAAUGAAGUUUAACUCAUGCCCCAGUUUCUUUUGACUGGGUAAUUCUAAAUUGUUUAUUUAGUUGGACCGAGCUCAGAGUAGGACAACCUACGUAUCUCACCCCCGAGAGAGGAGAAUCAAGUCACGCAUAGUUCUGGCAACUUGUUCUUUUGCUUGAUUCUAAUUUUUUUUUUUGCUUUUCUCCUUUAUUGACUUUUUUUUCUCUUUGAAACUUUCUGACUCUAUGUUUCUCGACACUCUUCUUUUUACUUUCUUUUUGGACAUAUUUUCUUCUUCUUUUUCUUCUCUUUUUUUUUUGAAACUUUUCUGACUCGACUGUUUUGGUCGAUACUUUUUUUUUGAGCUUUGUUGACUCUAUCUACAUUCCAAAAGAGGGGUAUGAAAGAAAAUAACACUAAGGCUCAAAUGGGAUAAAUAAAGAAUGACACAAUAUUUGAAUAACAGAAUAAAAUGUCUUCGUCAUAUCAAUCUGUGAAAAUGCCAGUACAUAGCAUGCAAUGUGAAAGUACACGAUCAAUAUCACUUAUGACAUGUUUUACGACACUAACUUGCCCUGAGCAUAUGUGCCACCUCUUCUUCUACACUUGUCGAACAUACAACUCCACCUUUGUUGUGCAUCCCUCACAUUGAAUGACUUAUGCUUUCAUGGAGUUGAUUUUUGUUCUGUUCCUCGGGAGCACACAUCCGCUAUUUGACCUAAUUGAGCUAGGUUUUUCAAUUGAUGACCAAGUUAUUCUUGUGAUUCUCAAAAUAAUUUUCUUAAUUUUCGAAGAAGGCUUCAACUUAUCACAAAAUGUCUCAGCACUCCACCUAUUUUCUCAGAUGUUUUUCCUAACUUUAGCCCUCUGAUUCAAUGUUUCAUGGUUAAGUUGGAUUUUAAAAUUUGGCUGAAAAUUCCGCUAGCAUGUCAUAUCACUCAAAUCAACAUAAAAUGUACUGUAUAAAGAAAGCAAACAAACGACACAUAUUUAAACACAAAGGGAAAGGGAUAAUUCAUUUAGUUUAAAUAAAAGAUAGAAGGGUUUGAACAUAAACAACAAAGGGACAAAAGAAAAUAGAUCCUGAACUACAACUCUAAAAUAAUUCAAAAAACAGAAAAGAAGACAAAACAAACGACCAGACCUCUUCCUAGUAAGGAGAGGGGUGACUUCUUAAUUCUCAGCCUGACGACUUAGCCAUUGGUUUGCAUAUCAGCAUGACUAGAACUUCCCUCACUGUCAACGUUCUGCACCAUAAUUGAUCCAUCUUGAAUCAUCUUUUCAAUUUCUCUUUUCAAAUCUCGACAAUCUUCAAUACUAUGACCCUGAGCAUCAGAAUGAUACACACAUCGUAUAUUAGGAUUAAAAUUUCUUGAACGCCGAUUAAGAGUGCACCCAAGAAGAGGAGUGAUCAUGCCCCAUUGUACUAAUCUCUGAAAUAGACUGGCAUACGACUCUCCAAUUGGUGUGAAGCUAUCUCUCGAUUUUUACCUCAUUUCAUUAUUUGACUUGGAUCGAAAAUCAAGCUUAGAAGGGUUUUGGUAUGUUUGUGGAGUUAGAGGACGACUCUGAGGAGUUGGUGUGUUCCACUGUGGGUAAGAUGGGGGUUGAAUAUGAGGUGCGUUAUAUACUGGAUAUAGAGGUGGGGGAGCAGAGUAUAAUGGAUUUUGGGAGUGAUUAUGUGGAGCUUGGGCAUAAACUUGGGUUUGAUCCUGAGAGUGACGACAACGGGGUCUUCUUGACCGUGCCCGCUGUCCAACUACAAUAGAAGAUGCAACUUCCUAAUUCUUUGUCUCCCCAAUACUUCCUGAACCCUUUUAAAUUGCUUGUGUUGUCGCUUUCAAUGUUGCAAAACUCGCAAUGCGACCAGUCUUAAUUCCCUCUUCUAUCAUUUCCUCCAUUUUAAGGACCUCAAUAAAUGACUUGCCUAAUGCAAGUAACAAGAGUUUAUAAUAUGUUUCAUCCUGUGCUUAAAUAAACACCUCCACUAUUUUACUUUCUUUCAUUGGCGGUUUUACUCUAGUAGCUUGUUCGCGCCAUCUGAUCGCAUACUCCCUGAAACUCUUAGUAUUCUUCUUUUUUAUACUAUUUAGGGAUUUUUCGUCAGGGAUCAACUCCACAUUGUAUUGAAAUUGUUGCAUAAAUUCAUUAGCUAGGUCAUCCCAACUAAUCCACUUGUCAAUGUCUUGGUCAACAAACUAUUCCGAAGCUAGGCCUGAAAGACUCUCCCCGAAAUAAGCCAUCAGUAGUUCUUCCUUCCCUCCAGCGCCCCUUAAUUGGUUACAAUAGCACCUCAAAUGUGCCACUGGGUCCCCAUGUCCGUCAUACUUCUCAAACUUUGGCAUUUUAAAGCCAGGAGGAAGGUUGACACAUGGAAACAUGCAUAACUCCUUAUACGAGACACUUUUGUAACCCCCAAAUGCUUGCAAGUUCUUCAUAGCCAGUUCCAAACUUCUCAAUUUUCUGGUUAUUUUCUAUUGUUCUUCUGUCAUAACAGGCUUCUUAGUGUUAGGAGGAAAUUCAGGAGGGUGAGUGUCACCAUAAAGACCAGUUAACUUGAAUAUAGGCUCGAAAGUGUAACGCUGAUCACUAAUAAUAUUCAAUGCAGGCUCUCUUGUAGAGUAGAGAGCUCGUGGAUGAACAUCAAAAGUCGGAGCUUCAGGUAGGGGUGGCGCCGCAAAAGCAUGAACAACAGGUGGAGUCGAGUAUGGAUUGGGGAGUGAGGAAAUGAACAUUGGAAGUGGUUGGAUAUUGUUGCCCCAGAGUCGAUCCUGAUGCAUAUUGUGGCAUAUCAACAAAAAUGGAAAAUUGUGCAUGUGACACAGGAGGCAAGCCAGAAAGAUAUUCCAGAUUAUCAGUGGGAACUGGGGGGAGGUGGCAACCCAUUAGCCCAAGCUCGAUGCAUCUCUAUCAUUUGCUGCCUUCCUAAAUUCUCAUUUCUCGAAAUCCCUAUCUGAUUAGUGACAACAAACUCGGUAUCGUUGUUGGCCAUAACGUUCUCUGUGACUUGGUGCAAUAUGGAGGACCAGCCAAAAUGCCACAAACCAACCACCUUAAACUAACUGAACAAGAGAUAGCAAAUGUGUUAGUUAAACACUUUUCUCAAAAUCUUUUUUUUUCUUUUUGAAAAGGUCACCGAACCCAAGAAGGGCACCUACGUAUCUCAUAUCAAGAAAGAAGAGAAUCAGGUGUGCGUAGUUCGUGAAGUCUUGCCAAAAUGGCCGAUUAAACUCUUUUUUUUUCUUUUUCUUUUUCUUAAAAUUUUAAGAAACAAAGAAAAAUGACAAAUUGUCAAAAGAAUAUACAAAAAUCUUUUUGAAUUUUUCGGCUUUAAUAACCUAUACAAAAUGAAACCUAUGAUUACCAAAGAAACUCUUUUUGGGUUUUCAAUUUUGCAUUUCAUACCAAAAUGAAACUUGAACCUAUUAAAGGAAAAUCUUUUGUAGUUUUCUUUUAAAGAUGUAUAUGAAACACCUACUCUAAAUGAAGACUUAAGAAAAAAUCUUUUUGGAUUUUUGAAUAAGAUCCCCGAACCAACAAUAGGUUGCUAUUGUUGCCUACGUAUCUCACAUCCCGAAAGAGGAGAAUCAGGGGUGCGUAGUUCAUUCAGAUUGGACAAUUAAGGAUUAAAUAACAAACUGAACCCUGACUUGAGAGACACGACGAAAGACAAACGAUGAACAACGUCAAUAAAAUCUUUUUUGAGUUUUCAACUUGACGCUUCACACAAAAAUGACACCAAUAACUAUGAAAGAAAAAUCUUUUUGGUAUUUUCAUCAUAUCAGAUGUACAAAACUUCUACCAUCUUUUUAAACGUUUCUUUUAUAAAAAAACUCCUAUUGAAAUAAAUCUCUUUAAAGUUUUCGAAUUGUGAAUGAUUACCAAAGGAAAUAAAAAAUAAAAUAUUUUUGAUGUUAUUGAUUUUUUUAAAAAUGAGUGCAACACAUAAAAAAUCUUUUUUUGAAUUUUUAAAUUGUGGAAAAUAAAAAUCAUAAAGAACUUUAAAAAUUAAGAUUUUUUUUUGACUCACUCUUUCUUCUUUUUCCUCUCUUUUUUUGAUUUUCCCUCGCCUACACACUCGAUUAAUUCUAGCAAUUGUUUUCUCCAAAUUAGUCUGUCAAAUGACCACGUUACCCUUAGAGAUGCAACAUUUAGCACGUAGGGAUGCUUUAGAGGUGAGUAUACUACAAAGGGCCACGUGGGUCCCAUAGGCUCAAUAUGAUGCAGAUAAGCAUGACCUAAAGGCUGACCUACGUUGGGGUCCACUAACAAGGUUGUUCGGGGGAGCGUAUGGUCGAUAGUGGCUGCGAGAGCUUUCCACCCACUCCAUAACACCGACGGCUCCCCCUCCUAACAUAAGGGUGACUCAACUAGAGGUCGUGUACAACACGUGUACUACAAACUUGUUGCAGAAAGAAUGACUCGGGUUAUGCACAUAACCACUCAAUAAUGAUAAACAAUAACACAAAACAACACAAAUAAAUGUCCAUACACCUAUAGUGCCAAACUGAGCCAAUAAAACUCCAAAAUAAGCUCGAGAUUCUGGGUUCGAUCCCCAGCAGAGUUACCAGAGCUAUCACAUCCUUUUUUUUUUAACUCCAGAAAAGAUUGAUUUUAAGUUCUAAACAAUUUUUAUUAUUAAAGUGAUAAAAUGAUUAAAAUAAAUUCUGAAAAAGAUUAUUUACUCAAAACUCAGAGUCGCCACUUGACAUAAUCCGAUGUGUCAAGUCACCUUUGAAAGAUUCUUUUCAAAACAGUUUGACUCUAAAAACUGAUCUGUGAACAGAUAUUCCGGCUAAGGAAUUCUGCUGACCGAAGGGAAGGCGUUAGGCACCCCUCAAUCCCGUGAUUUGACUAUGGUCGCUUGGUGGAGCAUAUCGGUUAAUUUGACACUACGAAUGUACAAACCACACAAAAACACGUAAAACAAUCAAACAAACAAACAAAACAAAAUGAAUAAAAAAAUAUAGUGUCCAGUCCAACUAUACAGUCCCAAAUAAUGAAAAAUGCGAAAAUGUAAACCCAUUCUAUUCCAAACUAUCCUUAAAAUACUCCUGAAUAAAGCUUCACCCGACGUUUCGGGCUUUGACCGUGCGUUGUCUUCAAGUACAUGAUACUUCGGGGCAUUCCCGGCAAAUGAACACAAAUACCUCGGGGCAUUCUCCAGCCAAAUGAAUACAUCUGAGAUAAUUAGAAAAACGUUCAAAACAUAUAUCUAAACAUUCAAUGAAUUUAAUCAACACAUCAGUGCUAAAUUUUGCCUACCCGAACCUAAACAUUUGCCUAUCCCAUUCGAUCUAUCAUGACACUAUAGAAUUCACAAGCUUGAAAUUAAUUCCACAUUAAACAACAAGAAGACCAACAUUAAUCCAAAUUGACCCUUUUCAUCAAUCUCGAAAUUCCACCUCAAAUUUCUACAAUUCGCAAUUACCAAUUUAGCUAUCCUUAAUCAUUUUUUGAUUCACGAAAUUAAACAACAACUCAACAUCACUCAAAUUUCAUCAUCAAAAGCAUCAAUAUCGAUAAAAUCAAACAAUCAUAAUCAACAAACACCUAAUCACAUUCACAGCCAAUUCAUUCAACCAACCAAAUAAAGAAAAGGAGAUGGGUUAAAGAAAUGGACCUCAAUAUAAUGUUUUUGUCGAUAAUAAAGAAAUUCGAGACCGAAAUCUUCGAAAGGGAACCCCAACAACAAAACAAAACCAACUCGAAUUGGGAGAAAUCCAAACCCGAAACUGAAAUCGAACUUAAAUUCCAAAACUAGUACCGAGCUCGAUGAACCAAAACGGAAAUUGCAAUAAGAGAGUCAAUGAGUUCGAAAAUCCGGUGGACCCGUCGGAACAGGAACAGGAACAGUGAUUGGGUGUUUUCCGGUGGAUUUUGAACUGAAAAACGAGGACCCUUUGCUACUCCUGAGCUCCAGUAAGUUCGGCAGCAACUAGAAACGGAGAUGCGAUCUGUAGCGACAACGUUUCCGGUGAAAAACUCAGUCCAAAUUUCUCUCUCGCACGUUUUUUGUCUGCUUUUAACUCUCAACCUCAAAUCUCACUCUCUCCGGUUCGAUCCCCUCUUUCUCUCUGUUUUUCGCUCGAUCUCGCUUCACCCUCACCCAAUUUUCGUAUAAUCGCCUAUAUCUAUGGGUGUAUUUGAGAGAUGUACGCCUAUGGCAUAUUCUGUGUCUAUCUAGGUGUUGAUGGAUGGGUUAUUUUUCUUAUCAGUGAGUGUGAGGGUAUUUAUGUACUGUGAGAGGAAAUGGUCAGGGAGGCUUCUGUGUGUGUAUAUUGUAUUCUGUGAUGGCGCAGAAGAAAAGAAAAUUCUCCACUCUGUUGUGCGUAUUCCCCCUUGGAGAAGAUGAACUUUCUCUUUCUGCCCCCUUCUCUGUGGGUCCCCCUUUCCCCCUUUUUGUUUUAUAUUCUGUUAUGGACCCCAAAAAGGAAUAAUAUGAGGGGAAAUGGGUGGGGUGAUGUGGGGAGUAGUGUGGGUUGUUAGGAUAAAGUUUGUUAGGAUAAGGUUAGGGAUUUAAUUUGUUAGAGAUUUUUUUAAGGGUUGUUAUUUUUGUAUUUUCGUGGGAUAUAAUUAUACGGAUGAGGACACGUGGUAAUACGGAGGUAAAAUGGUAAAAAUGCUAUCGGGGAGGGACAAAAUUAGGUGUCUACACAAGCUUUGUAAACAACCUCUGGCAUAAGGUUGCGUACAAUGCACCCUUGUGGUGGGGCCUUUUGCUUUAGUGCACCGGGC
rnacentral:lncRNA from 1 species